UGGGGUGUAGCUCAUUGGUAGAGCACUUGCCUAGCAUGCCCAGGCCCCGAGUUCAAUCCCCAGCACCACAA
rnacentral:tRNA from 1 species